UACCUUUGCCGGUGCUUAGGUGCUGUAAACAGACAUUCGUCUUUUACAUAAAAAGGGAAUCCGGUUAGAAUCCGGAACAGUGCCCGCUACUGUGAAUUCCAUAUAAUUUUUGAGCAUCACCAUUGCCACUGUUCUUUAUAGAAUGGGAAGGCUGCUCAAAACGGAACAAGUCAGGAAACCUGCCAAGCUACAAGUAAUAAA
rnacentral:ncRNA from 1 species